rnacentral:rRNA from 2 species
GAGUUUGAUUAUGGCUCAGGACGAACGCUGGCGGCGUGCCUAAUACAUGCAAGUCGAACGAACUCUGGUAUUGAUUGGUGCUUGCAUCAUGAUUUACAUUUGAGUGAGUGGCGAACUGGUGAGUAACACGUGGGAAACCUGCCCAGAAGCGGGGGAUAACACCUGGAAACAGAUGCUAAUACCGCAUAACAACUUGGACCGCAUGGUCCGAGUUUGAAAGAUGGCUUCGGCUAUCACUUUUGGAUGGUCCCGCGGCGUAUUAGCUAGAUGGUGGGGUAACGGCUCACCAUGGCAAUGAUACGUAGCCGACCUGAGAGGGUAAUCGGCCACAUUGGGACUGAGACACGGCCCAAACUCCUACGGGAGGCAGCAGUAGGGAAUCUUCCACAAUGGACGAAAGUCUGAUGGAGCAACGCCGCGUGAGUGAAGAAGGGUUUCGGCUCGUAAAACUCUGUUGUUAAAGAAGAACAUAUCUGAGAGUAACUGUUCAGGUAUUGACGGUAUUUAACCAGAAAGCCACGGCUAACUACGUGCCAGCAGCCGCGGUAAUACGUAGGUGGCAAGCGUUGUCCGGAUUUAUUGGGCGUAAAGCGAGCGCAGGCGGUUUUUUAAGUCUGAUGUGAAAGCCUUCGGCUCAACCGAAGAAGUGCAUCGGAAACUGGGAAACUUGAGUGCAGAAGAGGACAGUGGAACUCCAUGUGUAGCGGUGAAAUGCGUAGAUAUAUGGAAGAACACCAGUGGCGAAGGCGGCUGUCUGGUCUGUAACUGACGCUGAGGCUCGAAAGUAUGGGUAGCAAACAGGAUUAGAUACCCUGGUAGUCCAUACCGUAAACGAUGAAUGCUAAGUGUUGGAGGGUUUCCGCCCUUCAGUGCUGCAGCUAACGCAUUAAGCAUUCCGCCUGGGGAGUACGGCCGCAAGGCUGAAACUCAAAGGAAUUGACGGGGGCCCGCACAAGCGGUGGAGCAUGUGGUUUAAUUCGAAGCUACGCGAAGAACCUUACCAGGUCUUGACAUACUAUGCAAAUCUAAGAGAUUAGACGUUCCCUUCGGGGACAUGGAUACAGGUGGUGCAUGGUUGUCGUCAGCUCGUGUCGUGAGAUGUUGGGUUAAGUCCCGCAACGAGCGCAACCCUUAUUAUCAGUUGCCAGCAUUAAGUUGGGCACUCUGGUGAGACUGCCGGUGACAAACCGGAGGAAGGUGGGGAUGACGUCAAAUCAUCAUGCCCCUUAUGACCUGGGCUACACACGUGCUACAAUGGAUGGUACAACGAGUUGCGAACUCGCGAGAGUAAGCUAAUCUCUUAAAGCCAUUCUCAGUUCGGAUUGUAGGCUGCAACUCGCCUACAUGAAGUCGGAAUCGCUAGUAAUCGCGGAUCAGCAUGCCGCGGUGAAUACGUUCCCGGGCCUUGUACACACCGCCCGUCACACCAUGAGAGUUUGUAACACCCAAAGUCGGUGGGGUAACCUUUUAGGAACCAGCCGCCUAAGGUGGGACAGAUGAUUAGGGUGAAGUCGUAACAAGGUAGCCGU